AGCUUUGCAGGAUCGUAGCCAAUGAGGUUUAUCCGAGGCGCAAUUAUUGCUAAUUGAGAACUUUUCCCAAUACCCCACCGUGACGACUUGCAAUACAGUCGGCACUGGCAAUUUUUGACAGUCUCUACGGAGA
rnacentral:snRNA from 1 species